UGGGGAAUCUUGCACAAUGGGCGGAAGCCUGAUGCAGCGACGCCGCGUGCGGGACGAAGGCCUUCGGGCUGUAAACCGCUUUCAGCAGGGACGAGGCGAGAGUGACGGUACCUGCAGAAGAAGCCCCGGCUAACUACGUGCCAGCAGCCGCGGUAAUACGUAGGGGGCAAGCGUUAUCCGGAUUCAUUGGGCGUAAAGCGCGCGUAGGCGGCCAGCCUGGUCGGGAGUCAAAUCCGGGGGCUCAACCCCCGUCCGCUCCCGAUACCGGCCGGCUUGAGUCUGGCAGGGGAAGGCGGAAUUCCCGGUGUAGCGGUGGAAUGCGCAGAUAUCGGGAAGAACACCGGUGGCGAAGGCGGCCUUCUGGGCCACGACUGACGCUGAGGCGCGAAAGCUAGGGGAGCGAACAGGAUUAGAUACCCUGGUAGUCCUAGCCGUAAACGAUGGGCACUAGGUAUGGGGGGAUCGUCCCUCCGUGCCGCAGCCAACGCAUUAAGUGCCCCGCCUGGGGAGUACGGCCGCAAGGCUA
rnacentral:rRNA from 1 species